UACGUAGGGCGCAAGCGUUGUCCAGAAUUAUUGGGCGUAAAGAGCUCGUAGGUGGUUUGUCGCGUCUGUCGUGAAAGCCCACGGCUUAACCGUGGGUCUGCGGUGGAUACGGGCAGACUAGAGGCAGGUAGGGGAGAAUGGAAUUCCCGGUGUAGCGGUGAAAUGCGCAGAUAUCGGGAGGAACACCGGUGGCGAAGGCGGCUUACUGGUCCGGUUCUGACGCUGAGGCGCGAAAGCGUGGGGAGCAAACAGG
rnacentral:rRNA from 1 species